rnacentral:rRNA from 1 species
GACAAACGGGCCGAAUUAAGAGUAUUUAGUAUAAAAUGGGGUUAAAGAGGCUAGAUAAGGAAAGAUUGAGUUAUUUUAUAGAGGUGGAAUUUGUAUAGGGUAGUUUGAUUUGUUUCUUUCUUUUACUUGAUGCCCCGAAAAUUUAAUAGAAGACCGGGAUUAGAUACCCCGUUAUUUAUAUUGUAAACUUUAGUUUGAUGUUGACUUACUUGGGGAUUACGAGCACAUUUCUGACUAUGGGUAGGGGAUGUGAGGCUUAAAACUCAAAAAACUUGGCGGUGCCUUAAUUCCUUCCAGGGGAACCUGUCCUGUAAUCGAUGGUCCACGUUUUAGCUUACCUUUUUUUGUAUUUUGAGAUUAAGUUGAUUAAUCUUUUUACAGUUUGUAUACCGUCGUCGUCAGAUUAUCUUUAAGAGUUAUAGGAGUUGUCAAGAAAAUUAUUAUGUGUGGGGUUAAGUUUCAAGAAGGUUGAGAUUAACUACGAGGCAUAGCUGCUUAUUUUGGGUGGGUAUGUUAGUGGGGUUAUCUACAUGUAUAUUUUUGAUGUCAGAUCAAGGUGCAGCUUAUAAAAAGGUAGAGAUGGGUUACAAUAAAUAUUUAAUAUACGGAUUUUGUUUUGUAAUAUUCAAAUAGAAGGUGGACUUGGGAGUAAUGUAAGAAAUAUAGUUGUCUAAGGAUUAGGAAGCUUACAUGAAUAGUGGUGCUAAGGUGCGU